rnacentral:rRNA from 1 species
GCAGGCGCGCAAUUACCCAAUCCUGACACAGGGAGGUAGUGACAAUAAAUAACAAUACAGGGCUCUUCGAGUCUUGUAAUUGGAAUGAGUACAAUUUAAAUCCCUUAACGAGGAACAAUUGGAGGGCAAGUCUGGUGCCAGCAGCCGCGGUAAUUCCAGCUCCAAUAGCGUAUAUUAAAGUUGUUGCAGUUAAAAAGCUCGUAGUUGAACUUCAGGCUAGGUUGGUCGGUCCACCUAACAGUGAGUACUGACUGGCCUGGUCUUCCUUCUGGCUACUUAGGCUGCUUUUAAUCGGGUGGCCUAAUGUACCAGGACUUUUACUUUGAAAAAAUUAGAGUGUUCAAAGCAGGCCUACGCUUGAAUACAUUAGCAUGGAAUAAUAGAAUAGGAUCUUGGUUCUAUUUUGUUGGUUUCUAGGACUAAGGUAAUGAUUAAUAGGGACAGUUGGGGGCAUUAGUAUUUCAGUGUCAGAGGUGAAAUUCUUGGAUUUCUGAAAGACUAACUACUGCGAAAGCAUCUGCCAAGGAUGUUUUCAUUAAUCAAGAACGAAAGUUAGGGGAUCGAAGACGAUUAGAUACCGUCGUAGUCUUAACCAUAAACUAUGCCGACUCAGGAUCAGCCGGAUAUUUUUUUUAGUACCGGCUGGCACUGUAUGAGAAAUCAA